CCUACGGGAGGCAGCAGUGAGGAAUAUUGGUCAAUGGGCGCGAGCCUGAACCAGCCAAGUAGCGUGAAGGAUGACUGCCCUACGGGUUGUCAACUUCUUUUAUAAAGGAAUAAAGUGAGGCACGUGUGCCUUUUUGUAUGUACUUUAUGAAUAAGGAUCGGCUAACUCCGUGCCAGCAGCCGCGGUAAUACGGAGGAUCCGAGCGUUAUCCGGAUUUAUUGGGUUUAAAGGGAGCGUAGAUGGUUUGUUAAGUCAGUUGUGAAAGUUUGCGGCUCAACCGUAAAAUUGCAAUUGAUACUGGCAGCCUUGAGUACAGUUGAGGUAGGCGGAAUUCGUGGUGUAGCGGUGAAAUGCAUAGAUAUCACGAAGAACUCCGAUUGCGAAGGCAGCUUACCAGUCUGCGACUGACGCUCAGGCACGAAAGUGUGGGUAUCGAACAGGAUUAGAUACCCCGGUAGUC
rnacentral:rRNA from 1 species